ensembl:lncRNA
AGUGAAACAACCUCUGGCUGCCCUUCGAAGCCCCCCAGCUGGAUGUGGGGGGCUCAACCUGGGUCCCCGAAGUGAGAUCCCUGGCUGUGCUGACUGUGGCGCAGUCAUGGGGGGUGCUGGCCCCCAUGUCCAUGACUGGAGAUCUGAACGGAUUGAACCCUGUGGCAUUAGGUGAGUCCAACUCAGAGGGCUGAUGAACACAGGAUUUUGAAUGAGAGGGGAGAUGGAAAAGAAGCUCCUUUGCCCACAUAAUAUUCAUACCUUCUUAAUGUCCCUUUUUCCCAAAGUUGCAGCACACGGCAGAGCCCCCAGGUGACUUGUGAAACUCACAUUCCUGCCACAGAGACCACCCCAGCUGCAGGAGGUCAUCAUUCCCAUAGGCAUCCUCAGGAAAACUGCUCUGUUAGACAAGAACAUUUCUUGCCCAACUCCACUCGUAACAAAAGUGGUCCUCGGGAUCUUUCUAACCCUUGGGGAGGACCCCCAGGUGACACUUUGACUGUAACCAGUUUUGUGGGUCCUGAACCUCGCAAUGUACUUGUGUGUCCUGCUCGUUGUUCCCAAAGGCUGAGGAGGCCUCGCCCAGCAGGAGGGGCUGGGGAACCCAUAAAUGUGGAUGGUCCAAAAGAACAGCAUGGAUGUUGCACUGCACUACCAACUGAUGGAGUUGCAGCUGGAAGAACUGGUAAGAAGGAUGGAACAUAAUGGGAAUUUUAGUCUGCACCCAUGUCCUGCCAAAAUUCCAAAUGUUGUGCUCAUGCUCUUUGAACCAAUUCCAAAUAUUUGCUUAACAUACCUUUGUAUGUAGUUGGUUGCUGUCGUUGAUGCAGAUGCCUUAGAAAUGAAAACAAAUGAGCUGGCACUUAAAGAAAAUACAAAAUAGACAGUUGCACAAUUCUUGCAUUAGGUAAUGUUAUGAAAGAGUGCAAGUUUCUGGAUUAUUUGAAAUCCCAAAUCAGGACAGGUAAUAUAAAAAACCAAAGAACAGGGGAAGAAAAGGAAUUAGGUCAAAUGUGAUCAUCAGGUCUAUUUUAACAUUGUGAAGACUUUGUUGGUACAUUGAAUGUAUUUCUUAGUAGUAGGUUGCAGGUAUCAGAUUAUGUCUGGCAUUCUGAAGCAAAUAAUGAUUAAACACAGGCACUUUCCCCAAAUAAAUGAGAAUCCAGAUCAAUUUUUACCUUAGAAUAUAGGGGGAGGGGCUGAUAGUUCAGAGGAGAACAGACGUAAGGAGAAAUAUAACCAUCUUUAUCUUAGAAAAGCUGAAAUUAUUUAAGCAAUAAAGUUGUGGAGGGCAAAUUUAGAAACUGCAAGGAACAUAACCUUCAAAACGCAAAAAUUCUUUCAGUGGGAAAUAUUCUGGUACUAGAUUUCACUUCGUUAAAUUCUGUAUUUAAGUAAAAGAGGCCUUUUGGUUCAGUAUCUAGUAUGCUAAUUAUUUUAUUAUAGUUUAUUCCCAUUGCAUAAUUCUACAGAACCUGCACAUCUUUGCACAAAGCAAUAAAAAAUGCUAUGUCAUAUUUGUCAUUUUCAAAAUAAUACCUCUAAAAAAAACCCUAAUCUUUAUCAUAUGAAGCAUCUCUGGCUGAUAUCUUUCAAUGUAACUGUACUACAAUCAUUGUUCAGUUUCAAGAAUAAUAACUAUGUUGCUAUAAAAACACCAGUCGUGUGACAUUUUUAAAAAUGCACAUGUAUGAUUAUAGGAUUCAAGCCCAUGAGGACUUGCAGUAAUAAAUAUCUUAAUUUUGAAGUAUCACUUGGAUUUUUGAGUUUACGUUGGGGAAAUCUGUUUCCUUUCUUUGUGAUAUGAAAAAAUGUACAGGACUCUAAAUUUUGUGUGCGCACGUAUUGGGGGCAGGAAAGAGAAUUAAAGGAAUGCUAAGAAGCAACCCAGCAUAGUGGUAAACAAGGGUGAAGUCAGUGUAAUUUUUUAAACAAUCUUCUUGGUCUUUUGAUUGAAUGGGAAAUAAAUGCAAUUGAUUUCUGAUCAUUUGAGAAAGUACCUGUCUCUCAGGUUGUGUUUAGAGAAUUACAAGCCUUAAUUUUGUUUCCAUGUGAGCGUAAAUAAUCAGGAUUCAACUCUUUUAAACAUACACACCCACAUGCACAGAGCAACUUGUUCCUCCUGGUUCUGAACAGGUUAAGCGUCAGCCACUCUGUUCCCUCCCCUGAAAGUCCUUGAUUUAUCAGGCAAAGGGGAAAAUUCCUGAGGGGUUCAGAGAAGAACAGAGACCAGAAGAGCAGCCGUGAGAGGACCCACUCCCUGUUUUAACUUGUUUC